GAUGAUAUAGUUUAAAUGUAAAAUUCCUAUUUUACACGUAGGGGAUGGGGUUUACCCCUGUUAUUA
rnacentral:tRNA from 1 species